AGAGUUUGAUCCUGGCUCAGGAUGAACGCUGGCGGCGUGCGUAACACAUGCAAGUUGAACGACGGUGCCAUGAAGUGGUAACACGGAGUGGUAUACGGAGUAGCGGACGGGUGAGUAAAGCAUGAGGAUCUGUCCUGUCGAGGGGGAUAACGUUCGGAAACGGACCCUAAUACCCCAUAGUCCGAGAGGUUAAAGGCAGCGAUGCGCGGCAGGAGGAGCUCGUGUCCUAUCAGCUGGUUGGUGAGGUAACGGCUCACCAAGGCAACGACGGGUAGCCGGCCUGAGAGGGUGACCGGCCACACUGGAACUGAGAAACGGUCCAGACUCCUACGGGAGGCAGCAGUGGGGAAUAUUGGGCAAUGGGAGGAAUCCUGACCCAGCGACGCCGCGUGAACGAAGACGGCCUUCGGGUUGUAAAGUUCUUUUAUGUGGGAAGAAUGAAGUGACGGUACCACAUGAAUAAGCCCCGGCUAACUACGUGCCAGCAGCCGCGGUAAUACGUAGGGGGCGAGCGUUGUCCGGAAUUACUGGGCGUAAAGGGCACGCAGGCUGUGCUUCAAGUCAGCUGUAAAAGGAUGCGGCUUAACCGUGUUAUGCGGCUGAGACUGAGGUGCUGGAGUACCGGAGAGGCAAGUGGAAUUCCCAGUGUAGCGGUGAAAUGCGUAGAUAUUGGGAAGAACAUCGGUGGCGAAGGCGACUUGCUGGACGGUAACUGACGCUGAGGUGCGAAAGCCAGGGUAGCGAACGGGAUUAGAUACCCCGGUAGUCCUGGCUGUAAACGAUGAAUGCUAGGUGUGCGAGCAGAGAUGUUGGUGUGCCGCAGUUAACGCGAUAAGCAUUCCGCCUGGGGAGUACGGUCGCAAGAUUGAAACUCAAAGGAAUUGACGGGGGCCCGCACAAGCGGUGGAGCACGUGGUUUAAUUCGAUGCAAACCGAAGAACCUUACCUGGGUUUGACAUGUAUGUGGUAGGAGAUGGAAACAUUGACGACGCUGCUUUCGGGCAGUGAGCAUACACAGGUGCUGCAUGGCUGUCGUCAGCUCGUGUCGUGAGAUGUUGGGUUAA
rnacentral:rRNA from 1 species